CCUACGGGUGGCUGCAGUGGGGAAUCUUGGACAAUGGGGGCAACCCUGAUCCAGCCAUGCCGCGUGUGCGAUGAAGGCCCUAGGGUUGUAAAGCACUUUUGGCGGGGAUGAGGUACCCGCAGAAUAAGUCACGGCUAACUUCGUGCCAGCAGCCGCGGUAAUACGAAGGUGGCGAAUGAUACUCGGAUUUACUGGGCGUAAAGCGUCCGCAGGUGGUUCAACAAGUCAGAUGUGAAAUCCCCGUGCUCAACAUGGGAACUGCAUUUGAAACUGUUGGACUAGAAGAUAGAAGAGGUAGGUAGAAUUCUCGGUGUAGAGGUGAAAUUCGUAGAUAUCGAGAGGAAUACUCAUGGCGAAGGCAGCCUACUGUUAUACUUGACACUCAUGGACGAAAGCGUGGGGAGCAAACAGGAUUAGAUACCCCUGUAGUC
rnacentral:rRNA from 1 species